rnacentral:rRNA from 1 species
CAGUAGCGUAUCUUAAAGUUGUUGCAGUUAAAAAGCUCGUAGUUGGAUUUCGGUUAAGAGCGACCGGUCCGCCGUUUGGUGUGCACUGGUUGGUUUUAACUUCCUGUAGAGGACGUGCUCUGGGUUUAACGACCUGGACUCGGAGUCUACGUGGUUACUUUGAAAAAAUUAGAGUGUUCAAAGCGGGCUUACGCUUGAAUAUUUCAGCAUGGAAUAACACUAUAGGACUCCUGUCCUAUUUCGUUGGUCUCGGGACGGGAGUAAUGAUUAAGAGGAACAGUUGGGGGCAUUCGUAUUUCAUUGUCAGAGGUGAAAUUCUUGGAUUUAUGAAAGACGAACUUCUGCGAAAGCAUUUGCCAAGGAUGUUUUCAUUAA